rnacentral:lncRNA from 1 species
UGGGAAGUAGGGAUGGAACGUCUAAUUGUUGGGUAUUUUAAACGCAAACAGAAUAAUCCGCAAGCGCACGGAUACCGAUGUAGCCUUCACCCGGGAGUAUUCCAGAGUAUCGAUUUUCCACAGAGAACGUGAGUGUACUAAUUAAGAUCCAAGCUCGCCCAAGGAUAGCUAUAUAAUUAUUUUUGGUGGGAAGAGAGGAAGUUUCCUGAGAGUUCUCUAGUUGAUCUAAGAAUCAAGAAUUACUUCAAGAUUAUCUAUAUCGGG